ACUGCCUCUAGAGGCAUUGCAGAUGUGGCCACUGUGUCACAUGGGUGUCAUCAGUAGGUGGCAUAGAGGGGAGAGAGGAUAUGUCUAUGUUCAGUGUUUUGACCUGUGAACGUCUGAAUGAUUAGUAGCCUAACAUU